rnacentral:lncRNA from 1 species
GCACUUUCAACGUGGGAAAGUGGAGGAGCUGUUCGAUCUGAAUCUCAUGUUGCAUAACUGCCAUACAAUCAAUGUACAAAAUGAGGUUGCGAGAGUGUUACAUGUGGGACUUUUGUGCACUCAAGAGAUCCCAAUGUUACGUCCAUUCAUGUCUAAGGCAUUAAAAAUGCUCGUGAAGAAAGACGAAGAGUUGCCUCCUCCUACUAAACCGCCAUUCGUGGAUGAGAAAACCAUGGAACUUCACGACCCUUGGGAGAAGAACUUGCUCAAACAAAGCGAUUCUGCUUCGACUGCCAACUUAUCUCACAGUUCUUUUUACCCCAGAUGAUGAUAUCUCAGUGCUCCUGAACUGAAAGUGAUGUAAAAAUUGUAGUUAUCUCAAGCUGUCAAGCAUAUACUUUCGCCUCGUGUUCUUGAAGGAGACUUCUUCUUGAUCGAUCGAGUAGUUUGUUACAACAACCACAACAACUAUGUUUCUGUCUCAAACAAGUUGAGGUCGGCUAUAUGAAUUCUCAGUAUUCCAUUUAAGCGGUUAGUUGUAAGUUUAAAAUUUCAGAAUACAUUUUUCAAUUUUUUCAUGUAUUAUUUGUCAAUUUGGAAAAUAUUUUAUCUAGGAAAACAAGUUCUUUAAAAAGGAGGAAAAAAUGAUUUUCCUAGGUUGAGAAAACGAGUUUCGCAAGUGACGAAGAAUUUAUCUUGAUGGAUGCUUUUUUCGAGUGGACAAUUACAUGUUCUAUGACCAGUAUUUAGGUCCAGAAGACAGGCAUGUAUGCGGAAACAGGACGACAAAGGGUGCAUUGUUCCAACAGAAUGCUAGGCUAGCCAUUCAGCAAGCAGUUGCAAAUGCACCGAGUAAUGACGGCUAUGCGCGUGCCGAAGUGUCAGUACACGGUCCUUCCAACGAGACAGCUUAUGUUCUCGCUGAUUGUUGGAAGACACUAAGCGCGAAUUCCUGUGCAGCGUGUUUGCAAAAUGCAUCUGCAUCUAUGUUGGGAUGCUUACCUUGGUCAGAAGGUAGAGCCCUUUACACUGGAUGCUUCAUGAGAUAUUCUGAUACAAAUUUUCUCAAUGAUACUUCUACCAGUGGAGGUUCGUCAUCAAGGGGUACGUUUAGCUCUUUUUUCGUCCUGGUUUACCGGUUAUUAUGAACUAAUUUUUACUUUCAAAUUCACCAUAAUGCAGGAAAAGUUGUAGUCAUUGUCAUAGUUGUUGUAAUUAGUUCCGUUGUCGUUUUGGGAGCAGGUGCGUUCGUUGGUUUUGGUGUUUGGAAGAACAAACAAAUCCAGAAGAAGAGAAAAGGUAAAUACUUUUGUGCCAAAAAUAUCAAUGAUGUACAUAUUGCUGAGUAUAUAUCUUGCGAUUUGCACACAACUGUACCGAAACAACUUUCAAGAAUUAACUUGAGGCGUUAUGGCUACUCGUGCUUUUCCUGUGAAAUUUGAACUUGUUAGGUGCAAAUGAUGUUGAGAAAUUAGUGAAGAUCCUUCAUCAAAACAGCUUGAACUUCAAGUAUUCGACACUUGACAAAGCCACGGGGUCAUUUGAUGAGGCCAACAAGAUCGGGCAAGGUGGAUUUGGCACAGUUUAUAAGGUAUGUAAUGGCUGAAUGUUAACAGCAAGGCAAUUAAACAGAGUUUGAGAUACAAUUGUUGCAGGGUGUUUUGGCAGACGGAAGAGAGAUCACCAUCAAAAGGCUGUUCUUCAACAACAAACACAGAGCUGCAGAUUUUUAUAACGAGGUUAACAUAAUCAGUAGUGUCCAGCACAAAAAUUUGACACGGUUAUUGGGAUGCAGCUGUUCAGGACCGGAAAGCCUUCUUGUAUACGAGUUACUCCUUAACCAGAGUCUUGAUCGCUUCAUAUUUGGUAAGUAACCCGACAUUGCAACAACAAUUACUAUACCUCAGUCCCAAACAAGUUAGGGGUCGGCCUUAUGAAUCCUCGCUAUUCUAUUUAUGCUAAACUCAUGUCAUCAUUACUCCAACUAAAAAAAAAGUGAAAAUAAGUUAAACUCAAGAAACCGACGUUGCAUUAAGACUAAGUGGAAUGACUUUGUCAUGUAUAUUGAUUCUAACCUUAAAAUUUGACAGACCCUAUCAAAGGUAAAGCUCUAAAUUGGGAGAAAAGAUUUGAGAUAAUUAUAGGGACAGCAGAAGGAAUGGUAUACCUACACGAGAACACAAAUACACGAAUUAUUCACAGAGACAUUAAGGCAAGCAACAUCCUGUUGGACUCGAGGCUCCGUGCAAAGAUUGCUGAUUUUGGUUUGGCCAGGUCAUUCCAAGAAGACAAGAGUCACAUAAGCACUGCCAUUGCUGGCACAUUGUUAGUAUUUCUUCAUCCCAUCUUCUAAUUUUUCGCGUAAAAGUACACAAAAAAUGGGAUGAUUUACCCUUUUUAUGCAGAGGAUAUAUGGCUCCAGAAUACUUAGCACACGGUCAGCUAACAGAAAAGGCAGACGUCUACAGCUUUGGAGUUCUUGUUACUGGAAGUCAAAAUAACAAGAGAAAAAACGCCGAAUAUGCAGUCAGCUUAGUUUCCAAUGUAAUUUCUGAUCAAUCACUUCUCUCUUGAACCAAAUUUUUAAUCUUGACAAACAUUUACGUUCAUUGGUCUUAACUCUUAUAUUUGAUGAAAUUAACAGGCGUGGGAGCACUUUCAAUGCGGGAUAGUGGAGGAACUCUUCGAUCCCAAUCUCAUGUUGCAUAACUACCAUACAAUUAAUGUGAAAAAUGAGGUUGCAAGAGUGUUACAUGUGGGACUUUUGUGCACUCAAGAGAUUCCAUCAUUACGGCCAUCCAUGUCUAAGGCAUUACAAAUGUUCGUCAAGAAAGACGAAAAGUUGCCUUCUCCUACUAAGCCGCCAUUCGUGGAUGAGAAAACCAUGGAACUUCAUGACCCUUGCGAGAUGUACUCGCUUAAACAAGGCGAUUCUGCUACGACUGCUGACUUAUCUCACAGUUCAUUUUACCCCAGAUGAUGACAUCCCAUUGCCCUGAAACUGAAGUGUAAAAUUGGCCUCAACUGGCAACUAAACACUCCAACUUUGCCUAUGCACAUCUAGACACCUCAUUUCUAAAAGUAGGGGGGGGGGAUUGAAUUAUUUUUGUAGUUUGUCUAUAUAAAAUUAUGAGUUUGAUUUAAUGUGGAUCUGAGGCCUCAUUUGUUUUCAUUAAGAUUUAGACGUUUGAAUCUGAAUACAUAUUUGAAUGAUUAAGAUUGUUUGUUUAAACAUCUGAACGUACAUAAUAUUAUAUAUAAUUCAAACAAAAAUUAGUUAAAUAUUAAUAAAAUAAUUAUUUGAUUUUAAAAGAAUAAAACAUUUUUGCUUGCUAAUGAUGAUGAAGAUACUUUGUAGUGGUGGUGGUAAUAGUUGUUGUUAGUGUCUAGUAAUGAUGGUGGUGGUAGUUGUGAUGGUGGAGGUGGUUGGUGUUGUGGUGAUGACUAUCAUAAUGAUGGCAAUUGGUAGUUGUGUUGGAGGUUGUAAUUGUGAAGUUGGUUGAUGUUAGUGGUUGUCGGUGAUAAUGGUGGUGAUUGAUUAUGUGUUUGUGGUAGUUAGCGGCGAUGCUAGUUAUGAGAUGAAGGUGGUUGGUAGUGGAGAUUGACCACAGUAAUGGUAGUGGCUGAUAGUAGUAGUGGAGGUGGCGGUGGUGGGGUUGUGAUAGAAGAAUGUAUGGUGGUAGUUGGCGGCGGUGCUAGUGUGAUGGUAGCAUUUGUUGGUAGUAGGAAUUUUCUUGAAGACUGAAGUGGUGGUAGUGGUUAAGAGUGGUAGUUGAGGUAGCGGGGGAUGUAGAGACGGGAGGUGGUGAUGACAAUUGAUAUAAUUAUAAUAUGGAGGAGGUAAGUGUGGUAGCAGCUUCCAGUAGUGGUUAGCAAUGGUGAUGGUUGUGAUGACAUAGGUGGUUGGUGGUAGACGACAAUAAUUGUGGUUGGCAAUGGUGGUAGUAGCGGUGGUUGUGAUGGCAGAGGUGAGUAGUGGGGGUUGGUGAUUGUGGAUAGAGUGAUGGUGAAUAUUAUCCUCACAAGAAUACUUUAUGAUGUUAAGACUCGGUUCUAGAUCUUAAUAAUUAACACCAAUUUAAACCAAUUAAUUGCUUAAAUCUUAAUGAAAAUAUAUGUUUUUAAUGGUCUAAUGUUUGAACCAUUCAGAUUCAGACAUCAAUUAAGUGCAAACAAAUGAGGCCUUAUCCUAGUCCCCUUGGGUUGCAAGUUCUCCGUACGUUCUUGAAAUUUGUCUUGUUCUGUGAAGUGUAUUUCCUACGGUAUCUUUUUUCUCUUGAUUAAUCCAAUGCCUCACAACAAUAUUUUUCCUCUCUUACCCUAUUUUGAUUACACAGUGUCACAUUAGUGUCGGGUGUUCAUGAAACACAAUGAGGAUGAGUUGGAUGGUAUAGUUGUUUGUUGAGACCAAGUUGAGGUGUCUAGAUGUGUAUUCAUAAAGUUAGAGUGAUGAGGUCAAAUUUGAGUGAUUGUUUAUGUAUUAUAUCUAAAUGAUAAGCAUCUUUUUGCCUCGUCUUCUUGAAAUAGACUUUAUCACGAUCGAGUUGUUAGCUACUUUAGAUCCUUACGCGGUGCAAAUUUAUAUUAGUUGAAUUUUUGAAUUUCAAAUAUCAUAUAAAAUAUACCAAACAAUCAAGCAAGCAACUUGUAAAUAAAUAUAUUUCUAAAAAGUCGUACAUCAACAUCUUAAAAAGUCCUGCACUUGUUUUUCCUUCUAUAAAUUGAAAGUUAAAUCAAUUUCUAAUAAGAACGCAUGUGAAACCUUUAUAGUACCAUAAAUAUUAGUAUAUCUUUUUUUCAAAGACAAACUUCAAAAUUUUUACAUCCACACAUAGAAUUAUAACAUGUCAAAGAUCACAAAAAUAUUUAUUUUCUUGUUAAUUUUCGUAUCAAAUUAAACUUUAUCAUAUAAAUUUGAACAGAAGAAUAUGUUUCUUUCUUCUUCUUUUCUUCUUCUCCUUUGGCAGUAAAUGUACAGUAGAAAAAGACCCUUGUAGACUUCCUAGCCUUUAUUUUGAAAAAUUCAAACAAAUAAUCCUUCCAACAAAUUCUUCCUCUUGUUCACACACAAAAUAAAAUAAAAUAAAUUAUGGUAGAGUAAUAAAUAUUCUUUAUUUUUAAUUAAAAAUUUUAAAUUCAAACUCCAUAGCAUCGUUUUUGUCAGAGAAUAUUUUCUUCACCCCCAAUAUAAAGUUUUUCGGCAUGAUAUAAAUAUGGGACACCAACUUAUCUCCUUUCUACGAUGUAAAAUUUUUCAGCAUGCAUUCAAAUUUAAUCCACUCUAAUAUAGAUAUCAAAUAUCGCCGCCUCGAAAAAAAAAGUUGGAAGUAAAAAAACUUCCCUCACAAAACGACCCACUAAUUAAUACUACCUCCGUCCACUUUUAAUUGUCAUAGUUUUCUUUUUUAGAGUCAAAUUAUAAAAACUUUGACUAACAUUUCACAAUAUAUUCAUAUUGAUAGGUAAAAAAAAUUGCAAUUUAUAGUACUUUUCGUAUAGUUUUUGAAUACCUAAAUUUUUUGUUCAAAAUAUAAAAUUAAUGUAAUCUAAUUUAACUUUAAAAAUAAGUCAAAUUGACUUUCGAAAAGCCCAACAUGGCAAAUAAAAGUGGACAUACGGAUUAUAAAUUGCCCUUCAUUUUUCCUGUUUUCUCUGUUUCUACAACUUCGGCAGCAGCUGAUCAGUUUGCACCGGCGAUAUCUCUCUUUUCCGACUCAAAAUCCGGCGAAUUCAAACCGUUCAGUGUUCACAAGACUUUGUGAGUGUUCUUUCUAUUUUCAGUGAGAUUCAAUGAUUGUGGCAGGCGGUAAAAAAUCCUUCGUACUUAAUAAGUAAGAGUUAUCAAGUUCGAGCUUUAGAAAUGAAGUUAGCUCUUUAAUUUGAGCUGAAUUUGGGCGGGUUAAAUCAAUGAAUGGGUUAUUGUCUGGGUUAAACAACGGGUCAUAGCUCAAUUCGUCUUACUUGACCCAUUACUUGUACAAAUUUCAAACUCAUAUUCUAUGGUAUUUCUAUGGUGUUUUACAUAUAUAAAUAAGAAUAGCAUUUGAUAUCUGGUAUUGUUUUGUUUUGUUUUUGUAGUGAAUAAGAUUCAAUAAUUGCUUAGUUUUCCUGUUAUGAAUUGUGCUAUGUUUAAUUUCAUGGGAUAGAUGAUAUUUAGUUACUCCCUUAGCCUGAAAUGGGCGGGUCAAUAAUCAAUCCAAACUUGGGGAGGUUUGGCGGGUUAUGAUUUCAUGGGAUAAUUAUGUCAUCCUUAGUGAUGGCGGGUAGUAGCUAGUGAUGGUGAUGGUUGGUGGGGUGGUUAACAAUGGUAAUUGAUGGUGGUGGCUACCGAUAAUUGUGAUGGAUGGUAGUAAUAGUUAAUAGGGGUGGUGACUAAUAGCGGUGAUUGGUGAUGGUGGCGAUUGCCCAUAAUGAUUGGUGAUUAUUAUGGUAAUGCUAAUUGGUGGUGAUAGUUGUAAAUGAUGACUGACUGCAGAGAUUGAGGGAAUGGUAGCUGUGGAUGAGGAUGGUGAUUGUGGAGUUGUGAUAAUUGAUAUGAGUGGACAACAAUGAUGACAACGAUUAGCAGUUGUCCCGCCUUUGUUAAAAAAUAUUUUCAUAUUUUUCAAGAUCAAAAGGGUUAUCAACAUUGAAAGUGACAAAAUUGUGUUUCUAAAACAAGUCCAACUCCAAAUGACUUAUCAUCAAUAGAGAUUUCGGUUAAGAAAUUUGGUUGACUGAGGGGAAGGUGUUGGGCACCCUCAAGUAUCAUGGUUCUGGCAUGGAAGAAAACUUUAAUUUCUUUCUCUUUAUGGAUAACCAAUUAAUUUCCAAAUAUAGUUGGGAGAAUUUACCCAAGAAAUGGGCCAAAAAAAUGGAAAGAUCGGAACAUGGGAAUAGAUCUGAUACCAAUACAGACUACCUAUUUCAAUUGUUGUGCUUUAUGAACCUAUACAAGGGUUCAAGUUUCAAUCGAUAUUUGCGGAGUUGAUUAUCCCUCUCGAAAACAAAGAUUUGAAGUGGUCUAUAUGUUUACUGAGUAUUCGGUAUAACUCACUCAUUCGUGUACAAACCAGUGCAGACGAAGUAACACGAAUAUCUCCGAUGGUCAGUCUAUUUCCAUCAGCCGGCCGGUGGGAGCGAGAAGUUUGGGACAUGUUUGGUGUUUCUUCGCUUUACUGACUCGUAUUGGCUUAAAAUAAAAACUUAACUAAACAAACUCACACACACCCAAGUGUGCGCACAAACAAGGUGUUCUAAAACAAUGUCCGAACUAUUACAGUCCAAAACAAACUAUUUUCUUAUGUUUUUUCUCUAAUAGUAGUUCAAUUAGUCCUCUCACAUUGUUUCUGUGUUGUACAGCUCAUUUGGCAAAAAUGGAAAGAGCAACCCCUUCAAUGUUAUUUAGUCACUUUGUUAUUGUGUUGAUCCUACUUCUACCAGAUACAUCAGUGUCUGAACCAAGAUCCCAGAUAGUCCAGCUCAUAUGUGGAAACGAAACAACAGGUACCGUCUCAAUUUUUGUUAAUGGAAUGGAAACUAUAAGUGAACAAAUGAGAACUAGAGGAAAUGGAGUAGCGGCUACAGGCACUGAACCAAAUGUUAGCUAUGGACUUGGCCAAUGCUAUGGUGAUCUUUCAUUACCGGACUGUGUCUUAUGCUUCUCUGAAGUGCGAACCCUUUUUCCCAAGUGCUUCCCUAGUGGCAAGUCGCGAAUUUAUCUUGAUGGCUGCUUUAUGCGAGUGGACAAUUACAAUUUCUAUGACCAGUAUUUUGGUCCAGAGGAUAGGCAUGUAUGCGGAAACAGGACGACAAAGGGUUCAUUGUUCCAGCAAAAUGCAAGGCGAGCCAUUCAGCAAGCAGUUGCAAAUGCACCGAGUAACAAUGGUUACGCGCGUGCUCAAGUGUCAGUGCCCGGGUCUUCCACCAUGACAGCUUAUGUUCUCGCUGAUUGCUGGAAGAAGCUAAGUGCAAACUCCUGCGCAGCGUGUUUGCAAAAUGCAUCUGCAUCCAUGUUGGGAUGCUUGCCUUGGUCAGAAGGUAGAGCCCUUUACACUGGAUGUUUCAUGAGGUAUUCUGAUACAAAUUUUCUCAAUACUAUUUCUACCAGUGGAGGCUCGUCAUCCAGUGGUACGUUUUUCUCUUUUUUCGUCCUGGUUUACUGGUUAUUUAUAAACUAAUUUUUACUUUCAAAUCACCAUAUUGCAGGAAAAGUUGUAGUCAUUGUCGUUGUUGUUGUUAGUUCCGUUGUCGUUUUGGGAGUAGUUGCAUUCAUUGGUUUUGGUGUCUGGAAGAACAAACAAAUCCAGAAGAAGAGAGAAGGUAAAUACUUUUGUGCCAAAAAUUAGUUAUAAAAGUCAUUAAGAUAUCAAUAUAUUGCUGAGUAUAUAUCUUGCGAUUUGCACACAACUGUUCCGAAGACAACUUUCAAGAAUUAACUUGAGGCGUUAUGACCUACUCGUGCUUUUCCUGGGAAAUUUGAACUUGUUAGGUGCAAAUGAUGUUGAGAAAUUAGUGAAGAUCCUUGAUCAAAACAGCUUGAACUUCAAGUAUUCGACACUUGACAAAGCCACGGGUUCAUUUGAUGAGGCCAACAAGCUCGGGCAAGGUGGAUUUGGCACAGUUUAUAAGGUAUACAAUGGCUGAAUGUAGUGUGAUUAUCUUAACAGCAAUGCAAUACCAGAAGUGUUGGCUAUUUAACAGAGUCUGAGGUGCAUUUUGUUGCAGGGUGUUUUGGCUGACGGGAGAGAGAUCGCGGUCAAAAGGCUGUUCUUCAACAACAAACACACAGCUGCAGAUUUUUAUAACGAGGUUAACAUAAUCAGUAGCGUCCAGCACAAAAAAUUUGACAAGGUUAUUGGGAUGCAGCUGCUCAGGAACGGAAAACCUUCUUGUAUACGAGUUACUCCCUAACAAGAGUCUUGAUCGCUUCAUAUUUGGUAAGUAACCAGACUUUGCAACAACAACUACGCCUCAGUCCCACACAAGUUAAGGUCAGCUAUAUAAACCCUCACUAUGUUAUUUAAGCUAAACUCAUGUCAUCAUUGCACCAACUAAAAAGAAAAGUACAAAUAAGGUAACCGACUUUCAUUAAGACUAAGUGGUGUGUUUUCACAUAAGCACGCCCGAAUGAUUUUGUCACGUAUAUUGAUUCUAACCUUCAAAUUUGACAGACGCUAUCAAAGGUAAAGCUCUAAAUUGGGAGAAAAGAUUUGAGAUAAUUAUAGGGACAGCAGAAGGAUUGGUCUACCUACACGAGAACACUAAGACCCGAAUAAUUCAUAGAGACAUAAAAGCAAGCAACAUCCUGUUGGACUCGAGGCUCCGUGCAAAGAUUGCUGAUUUGGUUGGCCAGAUCAUUCCAAGAAGACAAGAGUCACAUAAGCACUGUCAUUGCUGGCACAUUGUUAGUAUUUCUUCGUCUCAUUGUUUAUUUUUUUCGCGUAAAAGUACACAAAAACAAAUAAUGGAUGAUUUACCCUUUUUAUGCAGAGGAUAUAUGGCUCCAGAAUACUUAGCACGCGGUCAGCUAACAGAAAAAGCAGACGUUUACAGCUUUGGAGUUCUUCUACUAGAGAUUGCUACUGGAAGACAAAAUAACAAGAGAAAGAACACCGAAUAUACAGUCAGCUUAGUUUCCGAAGUAAUUUCUGAUCAAUCACUUCUCUCUUGAACCAAAUUUUAAAUCUAGGAAAACAUUUCUGUUCAUUGAUCUUAACUUUAUUGGAUGAAAUUAACAGGUGUGGGAGCACUUUCAACGCGGGAUAGUGGAGGAACUGUUCGAUCCAAAUCCAAUGUUGCAUAACUGCCAUACAAUCAAUGUACAAAAUGAGGUUGCGAGAGUGUUACAUGUGGGACUUUUGUGCACUCAAGAGAUCCCAACAUUACGUCCAUUCAUGUCUAAGGCAUUAAAAAUGCUCGUGAAGAAAGACGAAGAGUUGCCUCCUCCUACUAAUCCGCCAUUCGUGGAUGAGAAAACCAUGAAACUUCACGACCCUUGGGAGAAGAACUUGCUCAAACAAGGUGAUUCUGCUUCGAUUGCCAAGUUAUCUCACAGUUCUUUUUACCCCAGAUGAUGAUAUCUCAGUGCUCCUGAACUGAAAGUGAUGUAAAAAUUAUAGUUAUCUCAAGCUGUCAAGCAUAUUCUUUCGCCUCGUGUUCUUGAAGGAAACUUCAUCGUGAUCGAUCGAGCAGUUUGUUACAACAACUAUGUUUCUAUCUCAAACAAGUUGAGGUCAGCUAUAUGAAUUCUCAGUAUUCCAUUUAAGCGGUUAGUUGUAAGUUCAAAACUUCAGAAUACAUUUUUCAAUUUUUUCAUGUAUUAUUUGUCAAUUUGGAAAAUAUUUUAUCUAGGAAAACAAGUUCUUUAAAAAGGAGGAAAAAAUGAUUUUCCUAAUGAAAGUUGAGAAAACGAGUUUCGCAAGUGACAUCCCAACUAUGUUGACUUCCACAUGUCUUUUUUUUGUUGCUUUUAUUGUUUCCACUUCUUUGUUGCAUAAGUGCAAGGGCAGAGGUAGGUAGGGUCAUAAGUGUUCAUCUGAAUCCCCUUCGAUGGAAAAUUAUACAUCCUCCGUUUAGAAAAGAAUGACCUCGUUUCACUUGACACGGAGUUUAAAAAAUAAAGAAGACUUCUCAAUCUUGUGAUUUUAAAUUAAAGUUAUGUCAAAUAUAUCAAAAUGUCCCUUAAUCUUGUGGACAUAAACAUGUCACGUGAAAAUUGAAAUUAAAGUGUUACCAAAAAAGGAAAGGGGUCGUUCUUUUUCAAACCGACUUGAUAGGAAAACAAUUGAAAUGGAGGGAGUACUAUUUAUACAUGUUUAAAUUUUUAUUUGUUUAAGGUAUAUACGGUAGAUGGUGAACAUUGUAUUUCCAUCCCUAGUCACUUUAUCAAAAUAUGUAUUCAACAUAUUAAUUUCAUUUUAAAAUUUCAUGUCAAAUCAAAAUCAUAUCACGCAAAUUGAAAGAGGAGAAGUAUCUUUUUUCUUCUCCUCUUCUUUAUUAUUCUGGAUUGGGCAGUAAGUAAAGUAAUUACAAAAAAGGCCCCACAAAUAUCUAUUAAAGUCUUCUAUUGUACUGUUUUAAGUUCGUUUGAAAAAUUCAAACAACAAUGUCUUUCCUCUUGUUGACUUCUCUCAACAAAAAAAUAAAAUAAAAUUACUUCCUCCGUAUUAAUUUGUUCGUCUAGUUUUGAUUUGACAUUAAAUUUAAAUUAUUAUUUUGAAUAUUAUGAUAUCAAUUACUGUUUAAUCUUAUGGUCUUAAACAUGUCAUAUAGUAUGUUAGAAAUAAAGAGUUGUCGGAGUAAAAUGGAAAGUAGUACAAACAAAUUGAAACGAAGAGAUUAUAAAAUAAUGGGAGUUGCCCCAAAAUCAUCUUAUACUCUUUCAUCCUUAGCUAAAAAUUCCAGAUUCGAGCCUGUUUAUUUUAUCCCAAUAUAAAAAAUUUCAACACGAAUCCUAAUUUAGUCGGCUUCAAUACGGAUAUCAUCAUACUUGACACCAGAUUAGGAAACCAAAAAUAGUAUAAAAGGACUUCUCUCACAAAGCGACCCAUUAAUUCAAAGCCACUUUGAUUCAUUUUUCAUCAAUAAAACAAAUUUUCUUCUCUUUUCUCUCUAUUUCUUCAUCACUCUGUUUCGACAACUUUGACAGUAGCUGAUCAGUUUUCACCAGCGAUCUCUCUGUGCCGACUCGAAAAUCCGGCGAAUUCAGACUGUUUAGUGAUCAGAAGGAGUUUUGUGAGUGUUUUUUUUUCCCUUUUUCACUAAUUAUUAAGUUAUUUGAUCAAAUUUCUAAAAUCAGCUUAUAUUGAAAAGUGUUUUUCAAAAUAAAAAUAAAAAUUGGUGAUUAACAGUUAGAGUUCAGCCAAUAAACUUAUAAAAAUAACUUGAGCAGCAAUUAUAACUUAUGGCCCCAUAUGUUUUUACUAAUAUUCAGACGUCCAAAUUUGAACACACAUCUCAAUUUUAUUGUAUUAAUCUUAAGAUAUCUGAAUACGAAUAUAUAUAUCUAUAUAUAUGAAUAUAAAAUUGUUGUAUUGAGAUCUGAAUAUUAAAUAAUUAAGAUUGUUCGUUUUUUCAAUAUCUGAAUGUACAAAAUUUGUCCUUAAUUAUAAACUAAUAAAUAAAAAAUUCAAAUAAAAUACUGAGUAAUCUAAUACAGUAUCAUCAAAUUAUUUUAGAAAUUUAAUCUGAUUGUUGGUGGUGAUGGAUGGUUGAUAGUGAUGAUUGUGAGUGCCAAAUGAUGAUUGUGGUUGGUGAUGAUUGAUGUUGGUUGAUGUCAGUUGUUGUGGGUAGAGGCUAGUGAUAAUGGUGGCUAAAAGUUAGGGGCAGAGCUAACAUUCCGAUUAUGCGUUUGGCAGAACAUAGAAGGUUUUUACAUAGAUCCCAUAUUUGUGUUAAAAAAUUACUUAAUAUGUAUAAAUAACUUAUCAAGAACGCAGUAACUUUCUUGUUGUGGAAUCUAAAAUUCGUAAACUCAAAAUUCUAACUCUGUCUCUGCUGAUAGUAGUGGCUAAUAAUGGUUGUAGAUGGUGGCCGGUGGAUGAGAAUAAUAGUUAAUGGUGAUGAUGAGUGAUCACAAUGAUUGAUGAUAUAUAGUGGAGACUGUCGGUAGUGAUUGGUGGUGAUGAUCGUAAAUGAUGACUAGUGGUGAUUGGUGACGACGUCAGUUGUGGUUAUGGAUGGUGCUCAAUAGUACUCACAUUGUUUUCUAUGUUGUACUUGUACAGCACGCGCCCAUCUAGCAAAAUGGAAGGAGCAACUCCUUUAGUGUUAUGUAGUCACUUUGUUGUCAUGUUGAUCCUACUUGUACCAGAUACAUCAGUGGCUGAACCAAGAUCCCAGAUAAUCCAGCUCAUAUGUGGAAACAAAUCGACGGUUUCCGUCCCAAAUUUUGUUGGUACAAUGGAAACGUUAAGUGAACAAGUGAGAGCUAGAGGAUAUGGAGUAACCGUUACUGGCACUGGACCAGAUGCUACUUAUGGAAUUAGCCAAUGCUAUGGUGAUCUUUCAUUAAUUGACUGUGUCUUAUGCUUCUCUGAAGCGCGAACCCUUUUUCCCCAGUGCUUCCCUUAUAACGGAGCGCGAAUCUAUCUUGAUGGCUGCUUUAUGCGAGCGGAGAAUUACAGCUUCUAUGAUCAGUAUUUAGGUCCAGAGGACAGGCGAGUAUGCGGAAACAGGACGACAAAGGGUUCAUUGUUCCAACAGAAUGCUAGGGCAGCUGUUCAGCAAGCAGUUGGAAAUGCACCGAGUAAUAAUGGCUAUGCGCGUUCCCAAGUGUCAUUUCCCAGGGAUUCCAAUGAUGCAGCUUAUGUUCUCGCUGAUUGCUGGAAGACUCUGAGUGCGAAUUCCUGUGCAGCGUGUUUAUGAAAUGCAUCUGCAUCCAUGUUGGGAUGCUUGCCUUGGUCAGAAGGUAGAGCUCUGUACACUGGAUGCUUCAUGAGGUAUUCUGAUACCAAUUUUCUAAAUGCUAUUUCUACCAACGGAAGCUCGUCAUCAAGGGGUACUUUUUGUUCUUUUUUCGUCCAGGUUUACCUGUUAUUUAUCGACUGAACACGUAAAUUUUACUUGCAAAUCACCAUAUUGCAGGAAAAGUUGUAGUCACUAUCAUUGUUGUUAGUUCCGUUGUCGUUUUGGGAGUAGGUGCUUUCAUUGGUAUUGGUGUCUGGAAGAAUAAACUAAUCCAGAAGAAGAGAAAAGGUAAAUACUUUUGUGCCAAAUAUCAAUGAUGUACAUAUAUUGCAGCUUUAUUCGAAAACUUAGAAUAAAAAAAAUUGAACUUGUUAGGUGCAAAUGAUGCCGAGAAAUUAGUGAAGAUACUUCAUGACAUCAGCUUGAACUUCAAGUAUUCGACGCUUGACAAAGCCACGGGGUCAUUUGAUGAGGCCAACAAGCUCGGGCAAGGUGGAUUUGGCACGGUUUAUAAAGUAUGUAAUAGCUGAAUGUAGUACAAUUCAAUAUAAUACUUGAAGUAUUGGAAAUUAAACCGAGUCUGAGGCGUGAUUUGUUGCAGGGUGUUUUGGCAGAUGGGAGAGAGAUCGCCAUCAAAAGGCUGUUCUUCAACAACAAACACAGAGUUGCAGAUUUUUAUAACGAGGUUAACAUAGUCAGCAGCAUUGAGCACAAAAAUUUGAUAAGGUUAUUGGGAUGCAGCUGCUCAGGACCGGAAAGCCUUCUUGUAUACGAGUUCCUCCCUAACCAGAGUCUGGAUCGCUUCAUAUUUGGUAAGUAAGGGUCAUCCUCACUAUUUUAUUUACGCUAAACUCAUGUUAUCAUCACAGAAACUAAAACUAAAAGUGAAAAUAAGUAACCACCAUCGUGCUAAGACUAAACGUCAUGUUUUCACAUAACCAUGCCAGAGUGAUUCUAACUUUAAAAUUUGACAGACCCUAUAAAAGGUAAAGCUCUAAAAUGGGAGAAAAGAUUUGAGAUAAUUAUAGGUACAGCAGAAGGAUUAGUAUACCUACACGAGAACACAAAGACACGAAUAAUACACAGAGACAUAAAGGCAAGCAACAUCCUGUUGGACUCAAGGCUCCGUGCAAAGAUUGCUGAUUUUGGAUUGGCCAGGUCAUUCCAAGAAGACAAGAGUCACAUAAGCACUGUCCUUGCUGGCACAUUGUCAGUAUUUCUUCGUCUCGUCUUCUAUUUUUUCGCGUAAAAGUACACAAAAAAUGCAAAGACUAAUAUGGUUCAAUAAUGCAGGGGAUAUAUGGCUCCAGAAUACUUGGCACAUGGUCAAUUAACAGAAAAAGCAGAUGUUUACAGCUUUGGAGUUCUUCUACUAGAGAUUGUUACUGGAAGACAAAAUAACAAGAGAAAAAAAGACGAAGAUACAGUCAGCAUAGUUUCCGAUGUAAUUUCUGAUCAUUUCUCUCUUGAACCAAAUUUUAAAUCUAGGAAAACAUUUCUGUUCAUUGGCCUUAACUUUAUUGGAUGAAAUUCACAGGUGUGGGAGCACUUUGAACGCGGGAUAGUGGAGGAGCUGUUCGAUCUGAAUCUCAUGUUGCAUAACUGCCAUACAAUCAAUGUACAAAAUGAGGUUGCGAGAGUGUUACAUGUGGGACUUUUGUGCACUCAAGCGAUCCCAACGUUACGUCCAUUCAUGUCUAAGGCAUUAAAAAUGCUCGUCAAGAAUGACGAAGAGUUGCCUCCUCCUACUAAGCCACCAUUUGUGGAUGAGAAAACCAUGGAACUUCAUGACCCUUGGGAGGAUUACUCACUUAAACAAGGCAGUUCUUCUUCAAUUGCCAACUUAUCUCACAGUUCUUUUUACCCCAGAUGAUGAUAUCUCAGUCCCCUGAAAUUGAAACAUAGAUUAUUGGCAUAUACAUAGACACAGUCUAGUCCCCUUUGGUUGCAAGGGUGUUCUAUGUGAGUUCGUGAAGUUUGUCGUGUACAAGAUAUGUGAAGUGUAGUUCCUAAGUCUAUAUA